GCGCCUGUAGCUCAGUUGGAUAGAGCAACGGCCUUCUAAGCCGUGGGUCGGGGGUUCGAAUCCCUUCGGGCGCGCCA
rnacentral:tRNA from 1 species